CUCGGUGUCCCCCCUUGUCCCCAUCUCUUUGUUUCUUAAUUUCUUUUCACCAUCCUCUUACCCUGACGUUUCCUGGUUGAUGUGUCGCGCUGGCCGAGACAGUCGUUUUUAUUUAUUUAUUUAUUUUUCCCUGUUAAAUCUAAAACCAGUCUUGAGCAAUCCACAGGGUGCUACUGAUGAAGAGGUGGAGGUAGAAGCUCUUCUUCUGUCUUGUUUUCUGGAGUUGACUGGUUCUCCUGCUGGUCUGCCUACCUAUGCUCAGACACUUCCAUUUCUGUGCUGAAUUCAACUGUUGGUCACUGACCAUGGGCUCAUCUGAGAUGCCUGGGAAGAUCUCUAACAUUUGGUAAGCGGAGAAGGUUCAACCUGUGCAGGGCAUUAUGAAAUGUAUUUGGGAGAUUUGUAUCUAAUAAGGAUGCUUAAUGAUUAUGGGAGGUGAAAAGUGAGUGCAGAAACUGCAAGAAAAAGCUACAGUAGAAGGUUACUGCAAUGUGCAAAAUCACCUGGACUCCCACUUCCACACUGCUAUUUAGUGAAAGGGUGGAGUGUCUACUGUGUGGGCAAUAAGUGCAAAUUUAUUAAAUGUUGUGAGAGUAACAACAUGAAGAAAUGAAGGGCAUAGGUCUCCAGGAGCUCAUAAUUUAGUCAAGAGAAGAUACAGAGAAAUAAAUU